CUGAUUACCGCCACGGGCUGCCGUUAUAUAACGCGCUGAGCGCGAUGCUAUCAUCCUGUGAAGGCGGCGCGUGACGUAACGUCUUGUGAUGUAAGGCCGUCGCAUUGUUUCCUGCUCGCUGUUGACUGAUUAAUCAAUGUGGUAUUUUUAGCGCUGUGGGCGAGUGUCAGAGCGAGCGGGCCCGUGUUACCGUUCCAGUCCUCCCACAGAUCAAGUCCAAGGCCUUCUGGGUGACAACAAAGCGAUGCUGAAUUUGAAUCAGGCCCCCAACUCCUCCCUCGCCUGAAGAUCCAUCACUGUAAGACAGCAAAACAUCUCUCUGGGCCCGUUUUCCUCCUCUCUCCGUCUCUCCGUCUCUCCCGCAGCGGGGACGGACGGAGGAAGAAUGCUGAGAAUCUCUCAGGGACGCUUCCUAAAUUGUUCACCGUGCAGCCUCCCUCUCACCGCUCUGUGUAAUGGGGCUGCGCAUAGGUGGCACUUAUACGGUGAAUACCAUCAACACUAUUGAACAUGACCCUCUUUCACUCAGGGGCCGGCCUCCAAGCAGCCGCACUCUGGCAAACGGGGGGCUACAGUGGAACACAAAGGGAAACCCCAAGCUACAACAAAGCUUUGGACCUGAGACGGCUUCAUCCUCAUGUUGGCUUUACUGUAGAUUUCCAAGCAGUUCGUUGCCACAUUCAGACCAAGUGGAUACAUUUGAAGUUCAGUGUAACGUCAUUCACACGGACAAAUGAUGUCAUUCAGCGUCGUCACACGCCACAGAGACUCAAAACACUUGGAACUUAACCCAGCAGACAACACGCGUUCACCUCCCUAAUGAAUGCAGCAAUCCCAUCAAUCAGAACUGCAUCCCGUGAUGGUGUCCACGGCAACAAGACCAGAGCGCUGCAGCCACCAAAAGGAAAAGAAAGGGGAAAAAAAGAAGAGAGAGAAUGACUAAAUCUACAAUGAUUGCCUGGUGGGGAGCACAGUGGAUGCAUCAGUAUGAUGUGGUAAUUGCCUGGACAUGCUAGUGAGGGCAAAGAGCACAUUAUUUAUAGAGGAGACGGGAACAACAUGACAGGAAACAAUUUGUAUGGAAGCGUGUGUGUGUGUGUGCGUGUGUGUGUGUGUGUGCGUGCGCGAGCCAAUACUCCAACAGGAGAGAGUUUGACCUUCAUGUAGGAGUGCUGGAGUUGACACAAGCAUGUCUGCACUGGGACAAGAGCUCAGGUUUAACAGGCAUAUUGAAAAGGUCAGAGCUGCCAUUCACCCAAACACACACUCACACACACACACACACGUGAAAGUGCACACACAGGCAAAGUUGGUUCGCACGCGCGCGCACACGCACGCAGGGAGGCAGCGGGCGCAUGCCAAAACGGUGAACCAUGUCAAAUUAAAAGAGAAGUGUGUGAGCUCGCUGCCCAUCUCCUUCAGCGGCUGACUUAAAAAACACACACACACACCAGGGCGACGCAACACACACACACACACACAUACACAAUUUGGGCAGCUGCCAAAAAUCCACGGCGUUGGCAGUUUUUGCCCGGUAUUAUUUUUCACCCUCCUUCCUCAGACACAUGAGCCCACACCCAGACAGGGUCAUUGGCGUAUAAAGUUGUUUUGGUCUGUUUAUAGAUUGUGAUUGGUCGUUGGGUUGCUAGCCAAAAAAAAAAAAAAAAGUUUUUUUUUUCCCGCUGUAGUAACAG